rnacentral:rRNA from 1 species
CGGGGGGGCGAAGCGUUGUUCGGAAUUACUGGGCGGUAAAGGGCGUCGUAGGCGGCCAACUAAGUCGGACGUGAAAUCCCCACGGCUCAACCUGGGAACUGCGUCCGAUACUGGAUGGCUUGAAUCCGGGAGAGGGAUGCAGAAUUCCAGGUGUAGCGGUGAAAUGCGUAGAUAUCUGGAGGAAUACCGGUGGCGAAGGCGGCAUCCUGGACCGGCAUUGACGCUGAGGAGCGAAAGCCAGGGGAGCAAACGGGAUUAGAUACCCCGGUAGUCCUGGCCCUAAACGAUGAAUGCUUGGUGUAACGGGUAUCGAUCCCUGUUGUGCCGAAGCUAACGCAUUAAGCAUUCCGCCUGGGGAGUACGGUCGCAAGGCUG